GGGUAAGCAGUUUUUCUUCCUUUGUUUCUGUGUCCAUGGCUGCUGUAUUUGGGCUUGUUCUCAUUUGCUUCAGCCUAGGAUUGUGCCGCCCAGCUACCGCUGUUGUACUUUACAUAGUAUUAUAGCAUUUCAAAUCCCAUGUGAAGGCAGGAGUUGGACUUGAUGAUCUUUGUGGGUCACUUUUAACUCAGGCUAUGCUAUAAAUCUAUGAUACCAUUUAGAUUUAAAAGAAAGAAAUGGACAAGCUUAUAUUUAAGAUAAUGCAUAGAGAAGGAGAGAAGAAUAACAAAUGAAAACAAGUCUGGAAAUGUUUUCACUUAUCCAAUUCCUACAGACAAAACUAAAGCAAAAUUAAGUUCUUCUAAUCUGAUAAAAAAAAAAAAAACAGAGUUGAUCAAAUGUAUCACUUGAUCUAUAACAGAAUUUUGUCUCCUGUCUUUUCCCUGUUGGGAAUGAUAGAUUUUUCUUGAAAUUCUCACCUCUCUCCCAAGUUUCCCAGACUCAUCCUGGCCCCCUGAAAAAAAUCUUCUCCUUCCGUAUAUGCAUACUUAUUUAUUCAGAGCUCCCCCACCAGCAAACCCAAAGUGAUUCCCCUCAGCUGUUGUACUUCAAUAGGAAACCACAAGUGUACUUUGCAUUUUUGUUGUUGCUUGGGAUUUUAUAUCUAUUUUUUUUUUCCAGAGGAUGCAUUCUCUGAUUGUGUAUUAGUGGUCAGAUGCUGAGCUGGUGAACUCCUUUCCUCACAGGAAACUCUUACACAAUAAAGGCCACGGCAAUGUGAGGUCACCACUGUGAAACUUGAAAUGACUUGUAUAGCAGUUUGGUGGGUCCUCUCUAUGUUCACCAGUAGCCGUACAAAGAAAUGUUAAGGUCAAAUGCUAGGGACUCUACCACAGCAACAAAUUCACCUUCAUGUUAUGGAGGCCCUUGAUCAGCCAGAACUAUGAGAUAACAGUAUUCUGUUUUAUUUCCAUUUUUUUGUUACAUUGCUCAAAUCCCACUUUCCCCUCUUCCGUAACAAAGUGCUACUUCAGACAAAUUUCAUCUGAUGAAAUCACGUCAAGAGUGAUACCUGCUCUUGAUGCAUGGACUUUAGAUAAUCUAAUGAACAAUCUGUUCCAAGAAUUUGACUUCCUUUCCAGGUAAUAAAGCAAGAUCUCUCUUAUCUUUUCUUAACUUGUCUCACAUCCAGUUCCAGACAUCAUAUUUGCCUCUGUCUCCUGGAUCAGACAGGGCUGGAAAAGAUGAGUGGGUUCCUAGUGCUUGGAGAUCAUGACUGAUCUACCCUUUUGCCAGAGCAUUUGAGCAUAGAGCCUGCUGGGAAGCUUAAAGAAAAGUCAGUUUCAUGCCACAGUGUCUCUCUGCAGGUC
rnacentral:lncRNA from 1 species